UACGUAGGUGGCAAGCGUUGUCCGGAUUUACUGGGCGUAAAGAGCGCGCAGGCGGUCGAUUUAGUCGUGUGUGAAAGCCCCCGGCUCAACUGGGGAGGGUCACGCGAUACUGAUCGACUCGAAGGCAGGAGAGGGUAGUGGAAUUCCCGGUGUAGUGGUGAAAUGCGUAGAUAUCGGGAGGAACACCAGUGGCGAAGGCGACUACCUGGCCUGUUCUUGACGCUGAGGCGCGAAAGCUAGGGGAGCGAACGGG
rnacentral:rRNA from 1 species